UUUUUUUUUUUUUCUUUUCUUUUUGUGUGUGAAACUCUGUUUCCGUUCUGUUUUCUUUCUUUCCUCUUUUCUAUAGCAACUGACAAUCGAGUAAAAACUAUGAUCAAUUUUCUUUGAAUUCUUGAUUCUGGGUUUGAGGAAAAUUGAAGGUUGGAUAAUGCCAUAUAUCAUAAGACCAGACAUAAUAAAUUAGAACAAGGAAAAAUUAUGUGUGAAAGAAGAAUAUAUUGAAUGAUGAUGUAUGGAUCACCCAUCAAUAUUUUCCACUGCCGUCUGCAUUAAAAACUUCACCUUCAAUUAGGCAUACUAUUAGUGGGCGGUGUCCUUUGGAUAGGCAGGUCCUAAUUUUGCUUACAUAGAAUGCACUUUUAGAAUAAAGGGUUUAAAUUUUUUCUUACAUAGAAUGCACUUUUAGAAUAAAGGGUUUAAAUUUUUU
rnacentral:misc_RNA from 1 species